CACGUAGGGCGCAAGCGUUGUCCGGAUUUAUUGGGCGUAAAGAGCGUGUAGGCGCCAGACAGGUCCGUUGUGAAAACUCGAGGCUCAACCUCGAGAUGUCGAUGGAAACCGUCUGGCUAGAGUCCGGAAGAGGAGUGUGGAAUUCCUGGUGUAGCGGUGAAAUGCGCAGAUAUCAGGAAGAACACCUAUGGCGAAGGCAGCACUCUGGGACGGUACUGACGCUGAGACGCGAAAGCGUGGGGAGCGAACAGG
rnacentral:rRNA from 1 species